AACGAACGCUGGCGGCAUGCCUAACACAUGCAAGUCGAACGAGACCUUCGGGUCUAGUGGCGCACGGGUGCGUAACGCGUGGGAACCUGCCUUUAGGUUCGGAAUAACUCAGAGAAAUUUGAGCUAAUACCGGAUGAUGUCUUCGGACCAAAGAUUUAUCGCCUUUAGAUGGGCCCGCGUUGGAUUAGCUCGUUGGUGGGGUAAAGGCCUACCAAGGCGACGAUCCAUAGCUGGUCUGAGAGGAUGAUCAGCCACACUGGGACUGAGACACGGCCCAGACUCCUACGGGAGGAAGCAGUGGGGAAUAGUGGACAAUGGGCGAAAGCCUGAUCCAGCAAUGCCGCGUGAGUGAUGAAGGCCUUAGGGUUGUAAAGCUCUUUUACCCGAGAUGAUAAUGACAGUAUCGGGAGAAUAAGCGCCGGCUAACUCCGUG
rnacentral:rRNA from 1 species